rnacentral:lncRNA from 1 species
UUUAUAUGUCUUAUUAAUUAGCUUUAUGAAUUUUCACCAUCACAGUCCCAUCGUUACAAUUCACUGUAAUGAGUGCAAACAAGGGAAAGGUCAUGUGGCUAGGAAAUCAAAAUUAGGAGAAUUUUGGAGUCCAUUAGAUUAAACAGAAUUCAGGGAAUAGAACAAUUGGUGUCGGAGUCGUGGAAUGUUAUGUCAUUACUCAUUUAGUAGCGGUGGGUUUAGAACAUGGAUGUCAUCAAACUUGAGUUGUCUUUUAUGUUUGAAGUGUAGCUCUUGUUUCAGGAAUUUGUGUUAUGUUCUUUCCCUUUGAGACCAUGGGCCAAGAACUGCAAACGUUCACUUCUCUAAUUCUGUCUCCGGCAAAAAAAACGGCCACAAAGGAUUGAACCACCACUAACAACAAGAUUUAUUCUAAUGGAAGUUUUAUUUUCAAUUGGACAAAGGAUCUUUUCAAUUACAAACAUUCAUCUUCUUCGUAUAUUUCAACACUGUUUUUUUUUGUUGAAGAAAAUAAACCUGUAUAUGGCAUCCAGUUUCAAGAAAUGAGCUCAUUAAUAUGAUAUAGAAAAGGCCAUCAAGGUUAAUAAGAGAGAGAAAAGAAAUGCAUUAAUUGCUUCUUAUCUACACAGGUUAGA